UACGUAGGGUGCAAGCGUUAAUCGGAAUUACUGGGCGUAAAGCGUGCGCAGGCGGUUUUUGUAAGCCUGUCGUGAAAUCCCCCGGGCUCAACCUGGGAAUUGCGAUGGAGACUGCAAGGCUGGAGUCUGGCAGAGGGGGGGGUAGAAUUCCACGUGUAGCAGUGAAAUGCGUAGAGAUGUGGAGGAACACCGAUGGCGAAGGCAGCCCCCCUGGGUCAAGACUGACGCUCAUGCACGAAAGCGUGGGGAGCAAACAGG
rnacentral:rRNA from 1 species